GAGUUUGAUCCUGGCUCAGGAUGAACGCUAGCGGCAGGCUUAACACAUGCAAGUCGAGGGGUAACAGGGAUUGCUUGCAAUCCGCUGACGACCGGCGCACGGGUGCGUAACGCGUAUGCAACCUACCUUUUACUGGGGGAUAGUCAAGAGAAAUUUUGAAUAAUACCCCAUACGAUCUGAUUCACUCCUGUGAAACAGAAGAAGACUCCGAUGUAAAAGAUGGGCAUGCGUCCUAUUAGUUUGUUGGUGAGGUAACGGCUCACCAAGACUACGAUAGGUAGGGGUCCUGAGAGGGAGAUCCCCCACACUGGUACUGAGACACGGACCAGACUCCUACGGGAGGCAGCAGUGAGGAAUAUUGGACAAUGGAGGCAACUCUGAUCCAGCCAUGCCGCGUGCAGGAAGACGGCCCUAUGGGUUGUAAACUGCUUUUAUACAGGAAGAAACGUUAGUACGUGUACUAGCCUGACGGUACUGUAAGAAUAAGGAUCGGCUAACUCCGUGCCAGCAGCCGCGGUAAUACGGAGGAUCCAAGCGUUAUCCGGAAUCAUUGGGUUUAAAGGGUCCGCAGGCGGUCUAAAAAGUCAGAGGUGAAAUCCUAUCGCUCAACGAUGGAACUGCCUUUGAUACUGUUAGACUUGAGUUAUUGUGAAGUAGUUAGAAUGUGUAGUGUAGCGGUGAAAUGCAUAGAUAUUACACAGAAUACCGAUUGCGAAGGCAGAUUACUAACAAUAUACUGACGCUCAGGGACAAAAGCGUGGGUAGCGAACAGGAUUAGAUACCCUGGUAGUCCACGCCGUAAACGAUGGUCACUAGCUGUUUGAUGCACAUUGGUGUGUUGAGUGGCUAAGCGAAAGUGAUAAGUGACCCACCUGGGGAGUACGCUCGCAAGAGUGAAACUCAAAGGAAUUGACGGGGGCCCGCACAAGCGGUGGAGCAUGUAGUUUAAUUCGAUGAUACGCGAGGAACCUUACCAGGGCUUAAAUGUAAGUUGCACGGAUCAGAGAUGAUCCUUUCUUCGGACUACUCACAAGGUGCUGCAUGGUUGUCGUCAGCUCGUGCCGUGAGGUGUCAGGUUAAGUCCUAUAACGAGCGCAACCCCUAUCGUUAGUUGCCAGCAAGUGAAGUUGGGUACUCUAGCGAGACUGCCGGUGCAAACCGAGAGGAAGGUGGGGAUGACGUCAAAUCAUCACGGCCCUUACGUCCUGGGCUACACACGUGCUACAAUGGCCGGUACAGAGAGCAGCCACUACGCGAGUAGGAGCGAAUCUUCAAAGCCGGUCUCAGUUCGGAUCGCAGUCUGCAACUCGACUGCGUGAAGCUGGAAUCGCUAGUAAUCGCAUAUCAGCCAUGAUGCGGUGAAUACGUUCCCGGGCCUUGUACACACCGCCCGUC
rnacentral:rRNA from 1 species